AGGCUGAGCGCACAGCCCAGCUCUCCCCUUUGUGCCUUGGAGGCGCCGGUGCGCUCCCCCCAUUCCCGCCUUCGCCUCGCCUCGCGGGUCCUGACCCUGGGGCGGGUGUAAGGGAGUACAGUGUGGGGUUGCAGGGGUUCAGGGAGGCGGAAGGAGGGCAGAGGCGAGGGCCGGGGGUGGGGUGCCUCCGCCCGCCUGCCAGCCGCUCCCGCAUUAAAAUUUCAUGGGCGCUGCAGCAGCUACAAAGACGACGCCGGCUGCACUCCGGGGACCAGAGGGAGGGAGGCUGCGGACGAGUGCGGGGAGGAGUUUGCGAGGGGAGGCGCUUGCAGGGGCUCCCCCAGUUCUGCGCUGUGAGCCGGGGCACAAAGAGCCCUCUGCACUUCAGCCGCUGGGCCGUGGACCCGAGCUGGAGCGAGGUCCCUGCUUAGCCGUGUGUUUCCAGACAAGUUUAUUUGGCUGAAGUGGCACCUGAGCGGGACACAAGGUGUUGCUCCAUCUCUUCUGUGUAUGCCGGGGGUACCGAGACCAGCUUCAUGCUAUGCGACCAGGUCCACUGCGAAGUCCAACACUCUGAACCCUCCUGGAUGUCAGAGAGUCACACCAAGCUCCUGGGACAGAGAAGAGAGGAGGAAAUUUCCGGGUUCUUCAAGGCAGUCUUGGCCAUGCAGGAAAGAAAGCAGCCUUGCAGAUAAGUAUUCAAAUUUACCCGCCUGUGGCCCAUCCGUCUGCCCUUGGCCAGGGCUCUUUGCCCUUGCAGUCAAGUGGGGACCUCAGCACUGUUGCCUGUGAGACACAUUCCUCUCAAGUAGAGGCUCCAAGUGUGUCUGUCUCUAGCUUUGGCCAGGUGCUGACAGCAAGCCCUGACGGUAUGUUCAGAGGGUCCCUAACUGCCUGGCUUCCGUCUGCAGGCUGAUGAAGAUAGCACAGCUGACCCAAAGCAAACCUGGGUUAGGAUCCAUAGGCAGCCUCUGGCCUUCUCCAGACUGGUGUGUGGGCUGGUCUCCAAAGACCCCUAACCCACCCUCCUUUGGAGUCCCCCAGUCUCCUCGAGUGCAUGGGGUGCCAGGAGAGGGGUGGGGAGGGUAAGGCGGGGCACAAAGUUCCCUCCUGUCUUCCACCUAGUGCCUCAGUCAAGUGACAGUCACUAUUGUGCACUGCAAGGGUCCCAGGGCCCAGAGACAGGCACAGACACAGGCUUCCUAGGGCCGCAGCACGGCAAAUGCAGAGCUGGGACAGAACUGCACAUUCCUGCCUCUCUGCCCAGUGCUCUCACUGGGCAGUUCCCAAGCUGCCUAGCUUGGCCUGCUUCUUCUGGGCUCACAGUCUGCUGCUGGGGAACAGGGAGGUUGCUGGGGCAGGGGUGGGUGUGGUUCUCUCCUGCGGCCUGGGUGGCUCUUCUGUCUUCCAGGAUGGCCCUGUGUGGGGUCUCUGCACAGAAGGAACCAGGCCUGGGUAUCACCAUGUUGGCUGGAUGCUGCGGCGGACACUGGGAUCCAGCGCUGAACACCAGACAUGCGGUCCCCUUCUCUUGCAUCUUCAUGUAGGAGCACACUUCCUCACAGCUGGGCGAGGAGGCCACGUUGCCCCCGCACAUCCCCAGGACUCUGGCUUGCUCCGCUCUGGGGCACUGGGUGAAUGGACUUUGGCUGCAGGAACCCGGGAGCAGCCCUCGGUGGUCCCAUCUCUGAAGACCUCGCCCUUCCAGUGCCCGUGGGAAGUCUUCUGAGAAGAGCCGCUCUUGGCAGACGGUCAGCCAAGGACCGGAUCCUGGGCUGGCGCAUGCUCCGGGCGUGUGGAGGGGCCACAGCUCUCCACGCGGCUCUCCCUGCUGAGCCCUGAGACCCCAUGCAGAUUGGAUUCCUCCUCUGGUUACAGCUCUGCCCGGGCAGGCACUUUCCUGGGCACACCGUCCCCAGGGCCCGAUCUCAACAAAGACAAAGUUGGGGAGGUGCUGCCGGUGGGGGGUAGGCUCGGCUUCUGGGGGAAGCCCAUCGGAGCCUUCUAUCUUUUAUCAUUUUGGUGGGGGCUUCCUGGGUGAGGCUUUUCCAUGUCUCUCUCCCUGAUGGCUCCAGAGGGAGGCGGUCAGGACCUGGGGGGAGCUAGGGCCUUCCCCCGGUGGUGUCCAGACAUGGGAGGCGACUGGAGGGGCAGGGGAUGCUGUCUUGAAAAGCAAAGGUGUAGAGAUGAGGAUGCCGGGGUUGGGGGGGCUCACCAGAAACAGACCGACAGCCCUGGUCUCACUCCUGCCACCCACAGAGAAUCCCCUUGCCCAAAGACUGGAUGGGCCACUUGAGCACAAGCUCGGGACAGGUGCCUAGCAGUCAGCCCCCUGGUCCUGGUGUGUGGUCCUGGAUUCUGCCUUUGGGAGUGGAGGCCUGCAAGACAGGCCCCACACACAUCCUUCCCAUAUGCAGUUUCCCCACACACCCACUGUCCCACGUCCCCCCGAUGACAGUCCCUGCAGAGCAGACAGUCUCACUGCUUACAAAAGAUUAGCUUGUGGCUUUCCUCAGACCAUCUUCAAAGCUGGGAGUCCUUUUCCUGGGGAGGGGGUGGUGGUGGGUAUUCAUCAGCUCAGGCUGCUGUAACAAAAUACUGAAGACAGACUACAGGGCCUCAGAGCCCAAGGUCCAUUUCUCAUGGUUCUGGAGAACAGACAGUCCAAGACCCAGGUGCCAGGCUUGGCUUUUGGCGAAGCCCCCCGCCAAUGGCACCUUCCACUGUGUCCUCACGUGGCCUUCUCUUAGUGGUGCUUUGGUGUCUCUCUUUGCAAAGACACCAGUCCUAGGGUAGCAAGGACCCACACUCAUGACCUCAUUUAAAUUUAGUCACUGGAAGGUCCUGUGCACCUUCCAGAGAUCUGGCUAGAGAUCCAGCCUGUGCAUUCUGGGGGAAUGCCGUUCGGUCGGUGACAGGGCAGUCACCGCAAACAUGGGAAGCUAGCUCCAUGUCUCCCCAGAAUCCCCACCUAUAGAGAAAGGAGUGAGUGAAUGGAAAGCAGAGCAGGGAGUGGCAGGUGUGGGGCCAGGGUGGGUCGAGGUGCCCCUGGGGCAUGCAGAACCGGCUUCACCCGGUGCGAGAGCCGGGUCUGAAAGAACCUGCACUUUGCAGCCAGAUAGGUCUCUGGUGCGCCCUCUGCUGUACAACUGUGGGCAACUCCUCUCACCACCCUGAGCCUGGACUCCCGCUAAAAGGGAGGCUGGCUGCAGUCCUGCUGAGCAGGUGCGGGGAGCAUCUACAGAGAUAAUGUGCCCAGCACAGUCCUGGGUGCUUAGUAGGUGCUCAGUAAUCACUCCCACCCAUCUGGGAGUUUAGAUUUGGGGCUGGUCUUUUUGGAACUUCUGAGCCAGAGGUGUUUCCAACUGACUAGCUAGGCCUUCCCCGCCUGUUGUCCUAACAGCCCUUUCUAAUGAGCUCGGGGAAGAGGUCGGGUCUCUGCGCCAGAAUCAAGCACUGUGGGCUCACUCAGGUGCCGCCACUUGGGGGAAGUAGGUGGGAGAGGCUUUCUAGCAAGGUUGGACCAACAAGGGCCUUGGAGGGCGAGAAAGACAUGGCAGAGCCCAGAGCUUCCAGGGAGAAAUUAGAGCAAGAUUCCUGAAGUAAGAGCAGGCCGCACAAGACUUAUCAGAGCCUUUGAAAUGCUCAUGUGGCUUUCGAAUACUCAGGGUGGGAAGAGAGGGUGAUGUAUUUCUUGACUUCUUUUUUUCUUCACAGAAUCUCUUUCUCACAGAGCACCAUUUAGAACUGUGGGAGAGGCAAGGCCGGGUUUCAUGCAGGGAACGUGCACUGGGGAUAGGAGAUGGUGUAACUGGGGUGCACCCAGGUGCUGUGUGACGUUGGCUGGAAAGGAAACAGACCAGGAGAGGGUGGGGCGUCUGAACCUGGUCCCCAGGCCAGGCCAGCUCAAUGCAGUUUUGUGGGAAGGAGGGGAGGGCAGGUUAGUUGUGAUGGGCGUCAUGCCUGCCGGGCAUGGAGGGGCUCUGGGAUCACGUCUUUGUGUGUGUGUGUGUGUGUGUGUGUGUGUGUGUGUGUGUCUGCGUCUGCCUGAGUGAAAGGACCUAGCCCUCUGGGAUGGGCCUGACCAGAAGCAGGCAGGGGGUUUCUGCCCAGGACAAGCAGCAUCCCUUUCCAGGGUAACAGAAGCGUUUGUGGGGGUGGGGAGCUCUGAGACCCAUGGCCAAGAAACAGCUGUAACAUGCAGGGUCCACGUGGCCGGGUUCAAUUCUGGUGGGACUGAGGGCCGCAGAGGUGGACCCCCCUGCCCUGGUCAGGCCCCACACUUGGGGUGGGUGGACAGGAGGUCUUUGGAGCCACAGCUGGAGGGGCCGGGCCGUGUUGCAUGGUGUGAUUAACCUACUAACCCAGGGCUCGGCCAGGACGCUGUGGCGUGUGACGAGGUGCCUGGCCUUCUGCCAACCAACUAACCCACUAACCAGGCCCGAGCAUGCCCUACUAACCCCCCUGCAGCGAGACCCUACUAACUGCAGCUCUUCGGCCUUUGACGGGGCUGGGCCGUGGGGGCAGACGAGGCUCCGGAGGGCCCGGCCUGGGCCGGGGUCUAUGUGCAGAUGCUCAGUGCAGAUGGGGCGUGUGCAUUACUUAGCAACUCUGCCACUAGCAGUGGGGUGGGUGGAGUCUGAGCAAGUCACUUCUCCGUGCCCCAGUUUCCUAGGUAAGGACGGGGAGUACCGAUUCUUACCUCACUGGCUGCAGUGAGAAUUCUCAUCCUUGUGAAGGUCUUGGCAGACACUUAAAAUAAGAGAAGGGGUCGGGGUGGGGUUAGGAGGCCCAGAAACCCAGUCGGCAACAGCCGCUCCCCUGCCUGGUCUCCCUGGGUACUCUGCACACAGACCCUUCUCCCUGGAGCCAGACCCUUGCUUUGAACCUCUAACCGUCUGUCCCUCACAUUCUCCUCAUCAGCUUUCUUUCCCGUAGGCAGCUCUCUUGUCCGAUUACUAACUUGUCUAACCUGGGGGCGCCUCACCUGCCCCCCACCACCCCUUAACAAACUAAUGGACCUGCGUGCGUUCUUCUCUCCUAGCGACUCCCGUGUGUGUCUGCCGAGGCGCCCCCGUCGCUGGUGCUGUGCUGACUUACUAACCCAGCCCUACUAACCCUGUUUUCUCUUCUUACUAACCCCAGCCCUGCCGAGCUCUGGGUCCCCCCUGGGGGCUGGUCCCUCUCCUUUUGGCAAGCAGAUGUCCCCGGGCUGGUCCUGCAGGCCCAUGUCCUAGAUUGACUGCUUGUGAGAUCAGAGACCAUUGGGCCAGGUCUAAGGCAGGGGACGGCCUUAUGCACAGCACCCAGAGGAGGCGGAGGUCGCCCUGCGGAUGCGGGAGGCUGGACUCUGAGCAUGACCUCUCUCCUCUGUGCACAAGGCUGGUUGCCACUGGGAGUGGGCAGGGCCAGGGCAUCCUCUGGGGUGUAAGUGUGGAGGCCUGUGGGUCUAUAGUGUGAAGUUCUGGGCUUUCCCCAGCCAGAGAAAUGGAGAAAAGGGGCCUGUGCUUCCUUCCCUGGUAGGAGGUGAGGUUAUUGUUCUUAAUAUUGGAAAGGCGUAGACACAGUAGCCAUCCUGGAAAGGAAGUCAAAGAAGGCAUGUUCCCAAAAGGGAACUUGGUGGGAGGACCCUGCCCGACACCGGAAGUCAGUCAGGAGACUUUCCCAGUGGGAAGUUAAUAAAGGAGUCUUCCCUAAUGAAAAAUCACUGAGGGGAGAUUUUAAUACACAGGAAGUCAGCUACAGAGGCAUUCUCUAUACUUGAAACUGAGAAAAGGGGUGGGUGGACAGGAGGCCUUUUGACUCUGGAAAUCAGUGACAGGGGCUUUUCCUUAUCACUAGGCACAGGGAAGGGACGCCCAGUCAUCAGUGAGAGGGCCCUUUCCCGUGUAGGAAGCUGGCUAAAAGGGCCUUUCUGUGUCAAAAGGUGGGAGAAGCCAGACACUCACACCGGAAGUAUGUAGAUGUGGGACCACUUAC